GAGGGAGCCAGUGUGUUGUACAGCAGCGAGUCAGGAGAGCCUGGAGUCGCCUCGGCACCGGCAGUCAUGCUGCUGACAAGUUAGAGCACCCGAGUUCAGCCACAGUUCAAGAUUUGAGAUAGAAAGCUUGGCAGUGAGACCCACAGCAAGUCCUAAUUCUCUCUUGAUAUGCAUCUGUUAUUUCCUCAUGAUCACAAAGGAAGAGAGGGAAGGUUUUCAGAAUGAGCAACUCUCCAUCUACCUGUUACUGUAUUACUGCUGAUUACAAAAGCACAUCAGGUUGUGAGAACCUAGUUGCCUGCAAGUAGAACCUUUGGAAAAACCUACCAUGGACAAAACUGUCUGGUUGGAAGAGGGCGCCUAAUUUGCUGGACCGGAUGCUGUCCAUUGUCCCCGGCUCCAGGUCCACCAGCACAGCUCGGGGCACAUACUUUUUACCUGAGCAGAAAAACAGGAAGAAGUCAGCAAACUGUUGUUUUUCUAAAAGUUAAUGUUUCAUCAAAAUGAAACCUUGUGAUACUGGUUUAAAAAGCACAAGUAUUCUAGAAAGGACUCGUGAUCUCCUUGAC